rnacentral:misc_RNA from 1 species
CUCUCUUGACAUUAUUGUUCUACAAUAAAUUAGGACAAAAAAACAUAAUCAAAAUUGCAUGUUCCAAUAUGAAGGGAAAAAAUACACAUUUUCUAUUUCUCUGAUUUUUACUUUUGGCAAAAUUGGGAAGAUGAAAGCUAGUCUUCACUCUACUUCCAAGCUUUUCUCCCUCGAAAUUGUUUGCCAGCACGCGCCUGCUUUCUCUUUUUCUCAAUCUUAGAUUUUGCAACCUUGGAUCUCUUUGCUGCUAAUGGCAUACGUUUUUGGUGUUCUUUCUGCUGAUUGCUUGAACCACCCGUCUUCUUCUUUUUCAGAGCAGUUUUAGCUUGGUAUCUCCCUCUAUCCUCUCUACCAGCCCGAAUAAUCGCCAGUCU